CAGCCGCCGCGGUAAUACGUAGGUGGCAAGCGUUGUCCGGAAUUAUUGGGCGUAAAGGGCUCGCAGGCGGUUUCUUAAGUCUGAUGUGAAAGCCCCCGGCUCAACCGGGGAGGGUCAUUGGAAACUGGGAAACUUGAGUGCAGAAGAGGAGAGUGGAAUUCCACGUGUAGCGGUGAAAUGCGUAGAGACGUGGAGGAGCACCAGUGGCGAAGGCGACUCUCUGGUCUAUAACUGACGCUGAGGAGCGAAAGCGUGGGGAGCGAACAGGAUUAGAUACCCGUGUAGUCCCUGUCUCUUAUAC
rnacentral:rRNA from 1 species